UAGCCGUAAACGAUACUCGCUAGGUGUCGGCCACGGUGCGACCGUUGUCGGUGCCGUAGGGAAGCCGUGAAGCGAGCCACCUGGGAAGUACGGCCGCAAGGCUGAAACUUAAGGAAUUGGCGGGGGAGCACCACAACGGGUGGAGCUUGCGGUUUAAUUGGAUUCAACGCCGGAAAUCUUACCGGGACCGACAGCAACAUGAAGGCCAGGCUGAAGACUUCGCCGGAUUAGCUGAGAGGAGGUGCAUGGCGUAGUCGUGU
rnacentral:rRNA from 1 species